CCAGACUCCUACGGGAGGCAGCAGUGGGGGAUAUUGCACAAUGGGGGAAACCCUGAUGCAGCGACGCCGCGUGAGUGAAGAAGUAUUUCGGUAUGUAAAGCUCUAUCAGCAGGGAAGAAAAAAGACGGUACCUGACUAAGAAGCCCCGGCUAACUACGUGCCAGCAGCCGCGGUAAUACGUGGGGGGCAAGCGUUAUCCGGAUUUACUGGGUGUAAAGGGAGCGUAGACGGCUGUGCAAGUCUGGAGUGAAAGGCGGGGGCCCAACCCCCGGACUGCUCUGGAAACUGUAUGGCUGGAGUGCAGGAGAGGUAAGCGGAAUUCCUAGUGUAGCGGUGAAAUGCGUAGAUAUUAGGAGGAACACCAGUGGCGAAGGCGGCUUACUGGACUGUAACUGACGUUGAGGCUCGAAAGCGUGGGGAGCAAACAGGAUUAGAUACCCUCGUAAC
rnacentral:rRNA from 1 species